GGAUUAGAUACCCUGGUAGUCCACACCGUAAACGAUGAAUGCUAGGUGUAGGCCUAAUUCAUGGGUCUGUGCCGAAGUUAACGCAUUAAGCAUUCCGCCUGGGGAGUACGGUCGCAAGACUAAAACUCAAAGGAAUUGACGGGGGCCCGCACAAGCGGUGGAGUAUGUGGUUUAAUUCGACGCAACGCGCAGAACCUUACCCAGCCUUGACAUCCUCGGAAUCUGAUAGAAAUAUUGGAGUGUUCCCUCACGGGAAAGCCGAGUGACAGGUGCUGCAUGGCUGUCGUCAGCUCGUGCUG
rnacentral:rRNA from 1 species